rnacentral:rRNA from 1 species
UAGAGCAAAUCUCAAAAAACAUCUCAGUUCAGACUGCAGGCUGCAACUCGCCUGCACGAAGUCGGAAUUGCUAGUAAUCGUAGGUCAGCAUACUACGGUGAAUACGUUCCCGGGCCUUGUACACACCGCCCGUCAAACCAUGAGAGUUGGCAACACCCGAAGUCGGUAGUCUAACCGCAAGGAGGACGCCGCCGAAGGUGGGGUUGAUGAUUAGGGUUAAGUCGUAACAAGGUAUC